rnacentral:rRNA from 1 species
AUACGGAGGGUGCAAGCGUUACUCGGAAUCACUGGGCGUAAAGCGCGCGCAGGCGGCUUGAUAAGUUGGAUGUGAAAGCCUACGGCUCAACCGUAGAACUGCACCCAAAACUGUCAAGCUAGAGUCUGGGAGGGGAAGAUGGAAUUAGUUGUGUAGGGGUAAAAUCCGUAGAGAUAACUAGGAAUACCAAAAGCGAAGGCGAUCUUCUGGAACAGUACUGACGCUGAGGCGCGAAGGCGUGGGGAGCAAACAGGAUUAGAAACCCCAGUAGUCC